AACGAACGCUGGCGGCAGGCCUAACACAUGCAAGUCGAGCGCGCCCUUCGGGGUGAGCGGCGGACGGGUGAGUAACGCGUGGGAACGUGCCCUUUUCUACGGAAUAGCCUCGGGAAACUGAGAGUAAUACCGUAUACGCCCUUUGGGGGAAAGAUUUAUCGGAAAAGGAUCGGCCCGCGUUGGAUUAGGUAGUUGGUGGGGUAAUGGCCUACCAAGCCGACGAUCCAUAGCUGGUUUGAGAGGAUGAUCAGCCACACUGGGACUGAGACACGGCCCAGACUCCUACGGGAGGCAGCAGUGGGGAAUCUCAGACAAUGGGGGCAACCCUGAUCUAGCCAUGCCGCGUGAGUGAUGAAGGCCUUAGGGUUGUAAAGCUCUUUCAGCUGGGAAGGUAAUGACGGUACCAGCAGAAGAAGCCCCGGCUAACUCCGUG
rnacentral:rRNA from 1 species